GACGAACGCUGGCGGCGUGCCUAAUACAUGCAAGUCGAACGCACUCUCGUUUAGAUUGAAGGAGCUUGCUCCUGAUUGAUAAACAUUUGAGUGAGUGGCGGACGGGUGAGUAACACGUGGGUAACCUGCCCUAAAGUGGGGGAUAACAUUUGGAAACAGAUGCUAAUACCGCAUAAAACCUAAACACCGCAUGGUGUAGGGUUGAAAGAUGGUUUCGGCUAUCACUUUAGGAUGGACCCGCGGUGCAUUAGUUAGUUGGUGAGGUAAAGGCUCACCAAGACCGUGAUGCAUAGCCGACCUGAGAGGGGUAAUCGGCCACACUGGGACUGAGACACGGCCCAGACUCCUACGGGAGGCAGCAGUGGGAAUCUUCCACAAUGGACGAAAGUCUGAUGGAGCAACGCCGCGUGAGUGAAGAAGGCUUUCGGAUCGUAAAACUCUGUUGUUGGAGAAGAAUGUAUCUGAUAGUACUGAUCAGGUAGUGACGGUAUCCAACC
rnacentral:rRNA from 1 species